CAAUUUAAAGCAACAUUUAAUGUAAAAAACAUACAUUUAAUAUAACAUUUAAAACAAUACAUAUGAAAAGUUUUCAUACAAAUUUGGCCAUUAUUGGCAAUUAUCAUAAGUAAGUUAGUCAUAUAAAAUUAUUAAAUAUUAGAUUCAUAUAUUACUCAUAGAAAAUCUGUAUACAUGGAAUGAAUCACAAAGGGAGAGACCCGUAGAAUGAAUAAACUCAGUGUGGAAGUCUCGCUUGCUCUCAUCAUCAUCAUCAUCAUCAUCAUACACACACACACACACACACACACACAUACACACACACACAAAUCAACACACAUUACAUUCUUAGAAAAAAAUGUAACCUAAAAGGGUUCUUUGGCUGUUCCAAUAGGAGAACCCUUUGAAGAACCCCUUUGGUUUCAGGUAGAACACUUUUGGGUUCCACGUAGAACCCUUUCCACAGAGGGUUUUACAUUAAACCCAGAAGUCUUCGACAUGGAACCAAAAAGGGUUUUGGAAGCCAACAUGCAUGACUAUGACACUCAAACAAACCAUAAAAACAGCUUCCUGUGCAUAUGAAGAGUUUAUUUCCAAAACACUAUAUCCACCAAUUAUUCACAUUUGUGUUUUUUCAUCAGAAAUGAUUGCUUAUGGGUACCUUCAUGUGUGUGUAAAAUAUAACUGUUUUCAGAUUUUUUUAUUCAUAGAUUUUAGAUGUGAAUUGUAUCGUUUUUUUUUGCAAACCGCUAUAUAUCAAUUGUUACACUGGAAUGUUUGUAUCCUGCAUAUUUGACUGUGAUAUGUGGUUGUCUCACCUAGCUAUCUUAAGAUGAAUGCACUAACUCUAAGGCGCUCUAGUUAAGAGCAUCUGCUAAAUGACUAAAAUGUUAAAUGUUUUACGUACAGAUCUCAUAUUACUGUGUUGAAUUAUAUUUAUAAAACAUUUUAAAUAAUUUAAAAAAAUAUUGAUGUCACAAAUGUAUCAUUUGAACAGUUCUUUAUUCAAAAUGUAGUUAUUUGUUACAUUUGAAUGUGUAAAACCUAGCAGGACUACUUGUUUCUCUGAGAGUGAGGCGGAUAAUUAGCAUUUUGCAAAAAAAAAUGUAAACAAUUUUUCUCUGAAAUGAAUCCAUCAAGUGAGAGAUUUUAAACAAAUACAUGUCUUUCAUUGAACAACCCCAUGUCAUGAUUAGAUAGUGAAAAAAUACACCAAUCUCUUUCAUAACUUUAAACAAUAAAAGCUAAUUUACCAACAUUUCUGAAAAUUGAUAUUUAGCAUUUUGGAAAUAAAUUCUUCAUAUAUCACACGCAAAGACAAACUAUUUUCCACACAAUAAAUUGCUGUAUAAUACAUAAAUUCACUCUGGAUGACAAAUGGUUGAUAUACAGUGAAACGCCUUACAAAUGACAUAACAUGACAUAAGAUGACAUAUGACUGUCAUUGACUCUGGGUCCUGGGUAACUCCUACAUGGUAGGUGUUUGAUGAGCAGUCCCAGAGUAUCUUCCAGUAAUAGAGAACUGUAGGGCAUCCCAGAGCAUUUUUCUCUCUCUCUCUCUCUCUCUCUCUCUCUCUCUCUCUCUCUCUCUCUCUCUCUCUCUCUCUCUCUCUCUCUCUCUCCCGCUCGCCCAUCUGAGAUGUAGCAACUUACUUAUAAGGUAUAUGAUUUACAGUCAGAACUCACAGCUUUUGUGGAUGUCAGAACUACAACAGGAUGGCAGGGCUCGGGGCUGGGGACAGGCUCAUGUACCCAUUAUAGUACCACUCUAGGAACACAAGAAGCAAAAGCAGCUCCAGAAAAACGUGGCUUAGUGGAUGGAUGGAAGGGCACUUCUUUCUGGCUCAAAAUGUCUGAGAAAAGUAUCAAUGUAAAAAAAAAGAAGCCAGAAAAGGGGUGUAAAAAUGCAACCUGGGUAACGGGAAAUAAAUAAAUAGAAUAAUAACCAUUAAAAGCAGAUCAGAUCAUUGUCCUCACUGUGGUGUGACCUCUCACUCCUCUUCUUCCUCAUCCUCCUCUUCAACAGUGCACCAGGUCACUGUCCUGCCCCCCCCUGCCCUCCAACCCCAAGAUCCCAGAGAGCACCAAUGUGGGGUCGCUAGGUGGCUGUAAUGUCUGUCAUUGAAGGCGCCGGCUGCCUUGGGAACAGCCUUGCUGAGUGUGGUGGAGGGGGUGAUGGUGGUGGUGGUGUGGUGGGGGGAUAUUUUAAUGAAGUGAAACGAAGGUUUGGGGAUGAGGGGCAGAGCUGGCGAGGGGGAGGCCAGGGGAGGGGGAAUGAGGAGGGGAGGGGGUCUCAAGAAUAGAUCAAGCCCUUGAGGAAGCAGGACUCUGCCACGUUUGAAGACGGAGGGACAAUCACGCUGCUGGGAAGCGUCUCGCGUCGGGGAGGAAGCCAAACAAGGAGAGGAAAAGCGCUCUGAUUUUCGCACAGGAAACCCGGCGAGCCUCCUGCCCGGGCCAGAUAAGAGCGCUGCGGUUCCCAGGGCCCAGGACAAGACCAAGGAUCCACGACUGGACCCAGGGACACAUCCAGCACCAAGGACCCAGACCUAGGACAUAAGGGUGGAUCCAGGCCCCAGACCCAGGUCCAAGGAUCCAGGGCCAGAAACAGGCUCUAGACCCACACCCUACCCUGAGGACCCAGGUCCCUAUCAGCCUGGCCCAGCCUGGCCCACUGUCGCUGGGCCUCCUCCGGCGCGGCAUCAGGCCCGUGUUCCGCCAGAGCUACAAAGAACAAGGGCCUGGUCAGGGCGAAUCAGAAUCUAUUCACAUUCUGAAUCAUUACUCUAGAACUCUAGAACAAGAACAGAAUGCUGGAGCUCUCACUGCUUUACAGUAAACAAACAACAAGGAAAUCACAUUCAAAGAAAUCUCAUUACACAAGUCUGAACCCCAAAUCUCUUUCACCUGUCUGAAUACCUCAUUUGUAAUGAAAGCAACUUAAAUGGAUCACUCUUUGCAGGUAGUGAGAGUGGCCAACGGGGAGUAUCAGUAUGCAUGCAAGACUCAACAUAGGCUAUAAUUGAUGACUUGUCACAGCUCCUCUGUGCACAGAAGGCAUCUUCUUGUUAGGCUGUGUAAGCCUCAUUAGACAUUUCUGGACUGUGAGGUGUCACACUUUCUCCUGGCUGGCUUGCCAAUUCAUAAU
ensembl:lncRNA